AGGCUGGCUACCGGGAAAACCGGUCACUUCGAUCCCGGCGAUUCCCGCUAUGUAUAUAACUGGCAUCCCCUUUUUCUUCAUUCUUCUUCCUCUUUCUCUCUCGGAUUUUCAAUUCUCCGAAUUCACAGCGAAGCGAAGGCUGUAGCUUCCGUUACUUGUCUGGUUUCAGCUUCUUUUCCGCUUUUCAAGGGUCUUCUGCAAAUUGUUGAAAUAGCGACCAGGAUCGCAGAUCACAGGCA